UACGAAGGGGGCUAGCGUUGCUCGGAAUUACUGGGCGUAAAGGGCGCGUAGGCGGCCUUCUAAGUCGAACGUGAAAUCCCCGGGCUCAACCCGGGAACUGCGUCCGAUACUGGAAGGCUUGAAUCCGGGAGAGGGAUGCGGAAUUCCAGGUGUAGCGGUGAAAUGCGUAGAUAUCUGGAGGAACACCGGUGGCGAAGGCGGCAUCCUGGACCGGCAUUGACGCUGAGGCGCGAAAGCCAGGGGAGCGAACAGG
rnacentral:rRNA from 1 species